GAUGAACGCUGGCGGCGUGCCUAAUACAUGCAAGUCGAGCGAACGGAUAAGGAGCUUGCUCCUUUGAAGUUAGCGGCGGACGGGUGAGUAACACGUGGGUAACCUACCUAUAAGACUGGAAUAACUUCGGGAAACCGGAGCUAAUGCCGGAUAACAUUUGGAACCGCAUGGUUCUAAAGUAAAAGAUGGUUUUGCUAUCACUUAUAGAUGGACCCGCGCCGUAUUAGCUAGUUGGUAAGGUAACGGCUUACCAAGGCAACGAUACGUAGCCGACCUGAGAGGGUGAUCGGCCACACUGGAACUGAGACACGGCCCAG
rnacentral:rRNA from 1 species